GGUGGUCUAGUUGGUUAUGGCACCCGGCUGUAAUAUUAUAAUUGUUACCGGGUUGUCGGCGGUUCGACUCCGGUAAGCAACU
rnacentral:tRNA from 1 species